GAUGAACGCUGGCGGCGUGCCUAAUACAUGCAAGUCGAGCGAACAGAUAAGGAGCUUGCUCCUUUGACGUUAGCGGCGGACGGGUGAGUAACACGUGGGUAACCUACCUAUAAGACUGGGAUAACUUCGGGAAACCGGAGCUAAUACCGGAUAACAUUUGGAACCGCAUGGUUCUAAAGUGAAAGAUGGUUUUGCUAUCACUUAUAGAUGGACCCGCUCCGUAUUAGCUAGUUGGUAAGGUAACGGCUUACCAAGGCGACGAUACGUAGCCGACCUGAGAGGGUGAUCGGCCACACUGGAACUGAGACACGGUCCAGACUCCUACGGGAGGCAGCAGUAGGGAAUCUUCCGCAAUGGGCGAAAGCCUGACGGAGCAACGCCGCGUGAGUGAUGAAGGGUUUCGGCUCGUAAAACUCUGUUAUUAGGGAAGAACAAACGUGUAAGUAACUGUGCACGUCUUGACGGUACCUACUCAGAAAGCAACGGCUAACUACGUG
rnacentral:rRNA from 1 species